GGUGGAUGAUGUGGAUUAAUUCGAUGCAACGCGAAAACCUUACCUACCCUUGACAUGCCAGGAACUUGCCAGAGAUGGCUUGGUGCCCGAAAGGGAGCCUGGACACAGGUGCUGCAUGGCUGUCGUCAGCUCGUGUCGUGAGAUGUUGGGUUAAGUCCCGCAACGAGCGCAACCCUUGUCAUUAGUUGCCAUCAUUCAGUUGGGCACUCUAAUGAGACUGCCGGUGACAAACCGGAGGAAGGUGGGGAUGACGUCAAGUCCUCAUGGCCCUUAUGGGUAGGGCUUCACACGUCAUACAAUGGUCGGUACAGAGGGUUGCCAAGCCGCGAGGUGGAGCUAAUCUCACAAAACCGAUCGUAGUCCGGAUCGCAGUCUGCAACUCGACUGCGUGAAGUCGGAAUCGCUAGUAAUCGUGAAUCAGAAUGUCACGGUGAAUACGUUCCCGGGCCUU
rnacentral:rRNA from 1 species